rnacentral:rRNA from 1 species
CGCCUUAUACAUGCAAGUCGAACGAAGUAGCAAUACUUAGUGGCAGACGGGUGAGUAACAUGUGGGUAUCUUCCCUUUGGUGAGGAAUAACACGAGGAAACUUGUGCUAAUACCUCAUAAGUCUUUACGGAGAAAGCUUUAUGCGCCAAUGGAUGAGCCCGCACUUGAUUAGUUAGUUGGUAGGGUAAUGGCCUACCAAGACUUUGAUCAAUAGCUGAUUUGAGAGGAUGAUCAGCCACAUUGGGACUGAGACACGGCCCAAACUUCUACGGGAGGCAGCAGUAGGGAAUCUUGCACAAUGGAGGAAACUCUGAUGCAGCGAUGCCGCGUGAGUGAAGAAGGCCUUUGGGUUGUAAAGCUCUUUCGUCGGGGAAGAAAAUGACUGUACCCGAAUAAGAAGGUCCGGCUAACUUCGUGCCAGCAGCCGCGGUAAUACGAAGGGACCUAGCGUAGUUCGGAAUUACUGGGCUUAAAGAGUUCGUAGGUGGUUAAAAAAGUUGGUGGUGAAAUCCCAGAGCUUAACUCUGGAACUGCCAUCAAAACUUUUUAGCUAGAGUAUGAUAGAGGAAAGCAGAAUUUCUAGUGUAGAGGUGAAAUUCGUAGAUAUUAGAAAGAAUACCAAUUGCGAAGGCAGCUUUCUGGAUCAUUACUGACACUGAGGAACGAAAGCAUGGGUAGCGAAGAGGAUUAGAUACCCUCGUAGUCCAUGCCGUAAACGAUGUGUGUUAGACGUUGGAAAUUUAUUUUCAGUGUCGCAGUGAAAGCGAUAAACACACCGCCUGGGGAGUACGACC